rnacentral:sRNA from 1 species
UUCUAGCCCUGAUAGUAGUGGAAAUCCUUUUCCUUUUUUGAAAAUAAAAGGAAAAGAUUGCAGCGUAUAGCAGGAAAUAGC